rnacentral:lncRNA from 1 species
GGUUCCCUGGCCUUCCAGCCCUUCUCCCCACCCCCAGCCCCCAAUCUCCCUCCAGCCCAGUGCAUUCCACAAGAUCCACCCAGUCCAUGGGCCUGGGGAGGAGAUAACCCUGCCCCUCCCUCCUCCUUCCUGAAUUUUCCUCAGGGGACGGGGUCUAGGAAGCUGGUCCCUGGGGUGGCUCCCAGACUCCUGAACCUGCGCAAACAAGUGACUCAGCCCUGUUCUCGAUUGCUGAUGGAGCCACCUGAGGUCACAAUGACUGUCUUGACUUUUGGAUCAGAAAACUUCAUCCUGGAACCUCCCCAUUACUCUGAAAUAAAGAACAUUUUCAUCAGAACUUGGGAAGUGCAGCAUCUAGCCAAGAUCUCCAAACAAACACCAUUUUCUGAUUGAAAGAAAUAAAGCAAAUGCUUCCCAGAGCUUUCUGCUCCUCAAGACAAUCACCACCACCACUGAGACAUCCCUGGGAUGGAGAAAAGCG